UGACUGAGGACUGGGGGCACCUCUGGGGGCAGAGUCUGCAGGUGAGGCGCUGUGGGGUAGGGUGAGACUUUUGUUAACGAAGUUUUGGACUUUUCAGUUUAUGGAGAAGCGUACUAAUUGGUCGUCACCUGACCGCGUAGCUGCUGUGGUGGGUGGAGUCUAAAACGCCAGUAACAAACAGCUUCUUGGGAGGACCAUCUGACUCCACCCCCCCUGAAAGACACAAUGACCUCAUUUGACAAAAGAAAAAUGUUUUAGAAAAUAUUCCAACAAUUAAAAGAUGUUACCUUUCCUCUUGAGAGGCGUUAAGGCGGGCCAUCUGACGUUGGCUCCACCCACAGGUCUGCUGGACAAUCAUGGAGUGAGUGACAGACCACAGCAAUGUCAAUUUAAGCUCUCUGGUUCUCUCAUGUACCUGAACCUCCGACUGGGACUCGGGGACGAGUUUGGCGUGAUGGCACUGUCCUGCGAACGAACCCACUGAAAACGACAAAGAUGAUCCAAACAUAAUACUGUUAACUAUAACUACAGUAUAACUACGUCCAUUUUUUAUCAUGCUAACAUGGCACACACUCACCUCGCGGGCGUCCUCGUGCCACUGGCUGCUGGAAGGAACCGAGAGUACACCGGAAGCACUAGGAGACGCACACAGGAAGUGUUUACAUUUUCAUGUUUGUGAGCCUGAUAAUGCUUCUACAGCCAAGUGUGCUCCCACCCAAAUAUAGGCUUCAAGUGAGUGGCACAAGUGUGGCGUGAAAAUGCGUUCUUACCCGAGCCCCUGCAGGUUCCCUCGAAGUGCCGCAUCCAUAUUGUCCUCCUAGCAACACACAUGUGAGCAGUGGAAACAAACAGGUCUCUCUCACACACACGACACUGACCUGUGACGGACAGCUGCAGUUGACGGACACUCGCCUGUAUCGGACUGUUACGGGUUGACUGGUCACGGCCAUCCGCUUACUGAUGGACACACAAGAGUCACAUAACUUAGCUUGCUGGUGGCGCAACGGCACUCCAACAUCUACUUUCCCCUGCUGCCAUUGCCGGACCUCGUCCUCCAUCUGGGCCCGAGAUGGCAAAGAGACAGACCCGUCCAGCACGGAGAGAGCAAACUGGACCUGCAAGGACGAGAGCACAAUGAUGGGGAAGGUUCUCCUCUAGACCCGGACCCGCCCACUGCUCACCUGACAGUGGAAGUAGGGGAAGGGGCAGAUGGUCUUGCAGAUUCCAAUAAAGAAGAGUGAGGGAAAGGCGGGCGGCAUCAUGAAGCGAUACAGCGGUGCCACCAAGUGGUCCUGAAUGUCUAAAGCCAGUUGCUGAGCAUCCAGGAAGGGAAAGCUGAACUUGUAUCCGGUACAGAAGAGCAGGACAUCGGCUUCCUUCAGCGAGCCAUCCUAGUACACCCGCAGAGUUGCUUGCUAAAGGUCGGAGCCCAAAAGAACGCAGACACAUUGGGACUUCAGUCACCUGGAAGCGAAUUCUGCCAUCGUCUUCGACCGACGCCACCAGACUGGACUGUCGGAUCUCAGCGGGAAGAGGAAAGGUGAGAGGAGGACGGCCGUGACUCAAGGUCACCUGUGUGGGGAAUUUUGUCUUUACCAGCUAUUGUUACCAUGGUGACGCAACAUCUUACACAAACGUUACCUGAGCGCCGACAUUGGCCAACUCCAAGGAAAUGUCCAAUCCGGAUGCUCGCGCUCCCAGAACGACCACAGAUAGACCGGAGAAGGCAUCUGCACUCCUGUAGGCGUGGCUGUGAAGGACCUGGCCUACAGGGAGUUCCUCAACAUCAACAGCAUUCUAAACAUUCAGCGAGCUUGUCCUGUCUUUGGUGUUACCUUUGAACUUUUCCAAGCCGGCCACAUCUGGGAUGUACGGAUCGGAAUAAUGCCUGGUACAAAAAAAAGCACAGCGUGAACGAUGCAGGGUGUUGGACCAGUGUCGUCUUCGCUGCACGAGUGUCUCACCCUGAGCACACAAACACAGAGUCGAACAUCUCCGUUCUACGACAGCCCAAGCCAUCAGAUGACAUCACCUCCCAGGUUGUCCGCUCCUCCUCACCACCUGUUGCCAUGACGACACCCUUCACGUCUUCCACCACUGUGCUGAACUGACACACGUGCGAAUGUUGACAUGUGAUUGACAAGACGGGACACGAAUGACUCACUCUGAUGUGAGGGCUGAUCUUGUAGUUGUCACAGUAGGUCUCCAGGUAGCGGCGUACUUCCUGGUGGGGCAGGAAACUCCUUGGCAGCUCCUCAAACGGGAAGUCUGGGAACAUCAUCACCUCCUUGGGAAGGUGUCGGUACAUGCUGCUGAGAAUGGGUCGUCCAUCGUCGUACGUGCCUACUCGCUCUUCAUAGCACCAGGUCCCGCCCACGUUAGUGGACAGCUCGUAAAGGACCGGGGGGGCGAAGCGGUCCGGUCUGGACAGUAUAUGUCUGGCUGCGCAAAGUCCCGCGGCCCCAGCACCGACCACCGCCACGCGCUGUAACGCCGUCGCCAUGGUGGUGUCUGAUGCUGUAACCCCCGCUGAAGGCCCUGUAGCUCUGGGUGGUACAGGUCUCCUGAGCUCUGUGUUGUAAUUAUUGGUGGGGAUUUAUUUCCAUGUAUUUCCUGGUGUGAGAUACUGUGCACUGGUCACCGUAUUCCAAUGACAAUGAGUUACCAGUUAUUAGCAACUACUCUCCUCGGGUCAGAGAGCUGAAGAACUACAGUGGUAAUGUGUGAGGGGGCGCUAAUGAGCGACCACGCCAUUCAUUGUUAAAACAAGUAUAUCAUAGCCUAAUGAUCAGACGUGAAAACAACAUAAAACGUAUAGUUGGACGUGUCGUUAAGUUAUCAAGCACCAAAGUUGUGAAUAAGAUACUUUUGUCCCAGAAGUCAAAUUAUCUUAAAAUAUGCCAGCAAUUCAAACAGGAACUUUGACCAUAUGUAGCUAGUCAUUAACUGCGUGUUACUCACAAACCUAGCAGCGUCACUAAAUGUUAUCUCAAACAAAACUCCGAGUCGUCUUACCGCCGCUUUGGGUAGGAAAAAAAGAUGGUGAACUAUGCCUGAGGAAACUCUGGUGGAGGCCAGCAGCGGUCCUGACGUACUACCUGGAUAUAGCGGUGAAAGACUAGGAAGACGAGUUCAGUGAAUGUGUCGCCUGAAGCAACACGAGCUUCCGUGAAGUCACUACUUCCGGGCACUUAACGCGAGCGGGACGAUGCAAAAUAAUUGAAAUCGGCGAUACCACAGCGGUAUUGGGUCGAUUCUAACGUGAGCAUCGUGUCAGGCUUAACAAGAUAAGUCAUAACCGAUCUUGAAAAAUAGCCAAGUAAAAAGCAUCGGUAUCUGUAAUACCCGCCCCUGUCUUUUUGUGGUGUCGCCCACCUCUACUGCAAGUCUACUUCCAGUCCUUCAAAAUAAAACAUUUUUUUCAGAAGACGCUUUUAAUUGUGAAUAUUGAGCAACAUAGCACUGUCAUAACGUUACAUUUGCGUGGCAAGAAUGAACAAAAAGCAAGGUUGGUUGCCUUCCUAAACUACAAAAACA